rnacentral:rRNA from 1 species
GAUGAACGCUGGCGGCGUGCCUAAUACAUGCAAGUCGAGCGAAUGGAUUAAGAGCUUGCUCUUAUGAAGUUAGCGGCGGACGGGUGAGUAACACGUGGGUAACCUGCCCAUAAGACUGGGAUAACUCCGGGAAACCGGGGCUAAUACCGGAUAACAUUUUGAACCGCAUGGUUCAAAAUUGAAAGGCGGCUUCGGCUGUCACUUAUGGAUGGACCCGCGUCGCAUUAGCUAGUUGGUGAGGUAACGGCUCACCAAGGCAACGAUGCGUAGCCGCACUGAGAGGGUGAGCGGCCACACUGGGACUGAGACACGGCCCAGACUCCUACGGGAGGCAGCAGUAGGGAAUCUUCCGCAAUGGACGAAAGUCUGACGGAGCAACGCCGCGUGAGUGAUGAAGGCUUUCGGGUCGUAAAACUCUGUUGUUAGGGAAGAACAAGUGCUAGUUGAAUAAGCUGACACCUUGACGGUACCUAACCAGAAAGCCACGGCUAACUACGUGCCAGCCGCCGCGGUAA